rnacentral:rRNA from 1 species
UACGAGCUGUGCGAACGUUAUUCGGAAUCACUGGGCUUAAAGGGUGCGUAGGCGGCGACUCAAGUCAGGUGUGAAAUCCCCCGGCUCAACCGGGGAACAGCGCUUGAAACUGGGUUGCUCGAGUGAGGCAGGGGUGUAUGGAACUUCCGGUGGAGCGGUGAAAUGUGUAGAUAUCGGAAGGAACGCCGGCGGCGAAAGCGGUACACUGGGCCUUGUCUGACGCUGAGGCACGAAAGCUAGGGGAGUGAACGGG